rnacentral:rRNA from 1 species
UAGGGAAUCUUCCGCAAUGGACGCAAGUCUGACGGAGCAACGCCGCGUGAGUGAAGAAGGAUUUCGGUUCGUAAAACUCUGUUGUUAGAGAAGAACAGCGCAUAGAGUAACUGUUAUGCGUGUGACGGUAUCUAACCAGAAAGCCACGGCUAACUACGUGCCAGCAGCCGCGGUAAUACGUAGGUGGCAAGCGUUGUCCGGAUUUAUUGGGCGUAAAGCGAGCGCAGGCGGUCAAUUAAGUCUGAUGUGAAAGCCCCCGGCUCAACCGGGGAGGGUCAUUGGAAACUGGUUGACUUGAGUGCAGAAGAGGAGAGUGGAAUUCCAUGUGUAGCGGUGAAAGGCGUAGAUAUAUGGAGGAACACCAGUGGCGAAGGCGACUCUCUGGUCUGUAACUGACGCGGAGGCUCGAAAGCGUGGGUAGCAAACAGG